rnacentral:rRNA from 1 species
GACGAACGCUGGCGGCGUGCUUAACACAUGCAAGUCGAACGGAAAGGCCCUGCUCUUGUGGGGUGCUUGAGUGGCGAACGGGUGAGUAACACGUGAGUAACCUGCCCUUGACUGUGGGAUAACUUUAGGAAACUGGGGCGAAUACCGGAUAGGAGCUCCUGCUGCAUGGUGGGGGUUGGAAAGUUUCGGCGGUGGGGGAUGGACUCGCGGCUUAUCAGCUUGUUGGUGUGGUAGUGACUUACCAAGUGUUAGACGGGUAGCCGGCCUGAGAGGGUUACCGGCCACAUUGGGACUGAGAGACGGCCCAGACGCCUACGGGAGGCAGCAGUGGGGAAUAUUGCACAAUGGGCGGAAGCCUGAUGCAGCAGCGCCGCGUGCGGGAUGACGGCCUUCGGGUUGUGAACCGCUUUCGCCUGUGACGAAGCGUGAGUGACGGUAAUGGGUAAAGAAGCACCGGCUAACUACGUG